AUAUUUACUGGCAGUUAUAAAAUUUAAAAAGUGGAUACAACUAAUAUCAGUUGGUCAUACUUCAACUUUAAUAGUAUUGAUACAAAUGGCGAUUGGGAAAGGACUCUUUUGUUAAUCUUGAUUCUUUUCAGCGAAUCUCUUCGCUGAUGGCUUUGAUGUUAUGGAUAAAAAGAAAUCGAAGCCGAUCUGAAACUUUCUGAGGUAGAUCCUCGUUAAAUCAUCCAAUUUGAUGGCUUACUGCAUAAAGAUAGAGAUCCACCAUAAAAGCACUUCAACAGAUCAGUAAAGGUGUGUAGCAUUGACUUGGAUCAACCAUAUCCAUUUCCAUGGACUAAACCAUAUCCAUUUCCAUGGACUAACUUCGUCAAUAGAAAUAAUAUGGAUCGGUGAUGUUACGAUCGGCUAAAGUGAUUUGGUUGAACGGCAAAAGAGAGAUGAGGCAACAGAUUGUUUGUUGGAAGAAAAAAGAUAUCGUGGAAAUAUAUAUAUUUAUAUAAAAUCAUAGCUUAAAAAAUAAUUCAGUGG